AAGCAGAGUUUACUCACUGUGAGUUAAAACAACACUCACAUGUCCACAUGUACAUAUAAAGUUUUGAGGUACGUGUACUUCAGUGUUUCCAUGUCUUACUCUGUUGCAGUACUUCUCAGGGGGAACUAUUGUACUUCAAAUAUAAUAAAUUUGGUUAUUUUAAGUAUACUUGUUGAGACGAAUGUCAAAUAUUAAGUUGAUUUAGGUUUAAUUUUUUUGUAGCUUAAUUAUUAAAUUAUUUCCUCGAAUACCAAUUGAUUGAUUGGGAGAUCACCUGGAGGGGCAGUCCUGAGCUGAGAAGUUUGUGUGAGGUGAAGGUUCAAGGAGGUGUUUCCGCUGCAGCCAGGUGGGAAAAGACGCCAGUUUAAUGAGAAUUAGGGCCGGGAAAUGUGCUGGAGUUAUACAAAGAAGGAGAAGGAAAUGAAGAUUAACAGCGGAGGGUGCAUCAGGGUGCAGGAGAUCUCAGAGACGCUACUGAUCCAGAUCCAGCCCAGGUGCCCAAGCUCCAGACUCGGGAGAGAAGGAGGGUGGUUAAAGAUGAGGCCACUGCUGAGGCUGCUGCUUUAGAAACAGAGACUCCUGAAACAUGACACUGCAGCAACAGAGAGAUGAGGAAGCCAAAGAUUAAAUCUGCACUCAGAAAGACUGCUCAGGUCCAAUAAAUGUUGAAAGGAA